rnacentral:rRNA from 1 species
GACGAACCACCCAAACGUUAUUCGGAAUCACUGGGCUUAAAGCGUGCGUAGGCGGCCUUGAAAGUUAGGUGUGAAAUCCCACAGCUCAACUGUGGAACUGCGCUUAAAACUACAAGGCUAGAGGGAUAUAGAGGUGAGCAGAACUGAUGGUGGAGCGGUGAAAUGCGUUGAUAUCAUCUAGAAUACCGGAGGCGAAGGCGGCUCACUGGGUAUCUUCUGACGCUGAGGUACGAAAGCUAGGGGAGCUAACGGG